rnacentral:rRNA from 1 species
AGUGAACGCUGGCGGUAGGCCUAACACAUGCAAGUCGAACGGCAGCACAGUAAUAGCUUGCUCUUACGGGUGGCGAGUGGCGGACGGGUGAGGAAUACAUCGGAAUCUACUUUUUCGUGGGGGAUAACGUAGGGAAACUUACGCUAAUACCGCAUACGACCUACGGGUGAAAGCAGGGGAUCUUCGGACCUUGCGCGAUUGAAUGAGCCGAUGUCGGAUUAGCUAGUUGGCGGGGUAAAGGCCCACCAAGGCGACGAUGCGUAGCUGGUCUGAGAGGAUGAUCAGCCACACUGGAACUGAGACACGGUCCAGACUCCUACGGGAGGCAGCAGUGGGGAAUAUUGGACAAUGGGCGCAAGCCUGAUCCAGCCAUACCGCGUGGGUGAAGAAGGCCUUCGGGUUGUAAAGCCCUUUUGUUGGGAAAGAAAAGCAGCAGGUUAAUACCCCGCUGUUCUGACGGUACCCAAAGAAUAAGCACCGGCUAACUUCGUG